AAUCUCUUUGCAGAAGGGCCUAAUAGAUGUGCUAAAGGUGGAAGAACCAUCACUCGCGUUAAUGGAAGGUGUAGGCCGUAAGCCACAAAUUUGUGGAGUCGAACUGCAGCAAUAAUUCCAGUGUGUUCAGCCCAGCUCCGAUUUGCGCUCAGUCUGGAACCUAUGGCUCAGUGGGAUUUCUCAAGGCUUUUCUCCUGCAUCUCUGUCUCCUGGGGGAAUGUCCCAGGGCCUCUCACCUGCCUCAAAACCCCCCGCCGUCGGUGACACAACAGCUUGAGGUCCUGGGACACGGGGCUCACAGCUGGGAGCCUUCCCAAACCCCAGUGGGACAGGCAGCAGAGUUACCGCCAGAGAGGCCCAACCAUGAGUGCCCUCCAGCCGGAGUUCUGACUACCUUUGGUGUAAUACAUUAGCACAGGAGUCGGCAUCCAAAUACAACUUUGGAAACAGAAUCAGAUGGGCUGGUCCGUGUUUGGUGAGGCUGAUUUCAACCGCAGAGCCAUGUUGAAUGUAUGGCCAACGUUUGUACGCUUCUAACCGUCACGAUCGUUCAUCACACGAAGGCGCCACAACAUAGAUUUUCGGACAGCAAUGAAUAACAUUAUUGGAAGGCAGGCACACAGAUUCAGGACCAAUGGGAGCGACAGGGAUAGUGCUGGAAGUGUGGACAGCGCGCAGAGCCUCUUCCCCCUCGCACAGGAGAUGCAGAGAUGUGUCAGCGGCCAGCCUCUUCUAGGAGCUCCAUGGAGCCAUGCAGGCAGUGUUCCUGAGACCUGCUAGACUUCUAGUGGCCUCAGAGAUCACGAUCGACUGGCAGAGGUGCCAGGAUCCACCAGUCAAUUGACAGAUCCAGACGAACACGACUGCUCCUCUGCGAUUACCCACACAGCGCCUCAUGCCCUCUUUGAGUCCUGCUCCCAGACCUGGCAGAGCCCUGGAGGCCACUCGGUGGACUCCAAGACACUCUCCAAGGUCCUACCUUGACUGUUGGGAGCCCUGCUUGGCCGGGCAAAUCCUGCCGAGGACGACAGGCAGGAAAAGUAACUAGGAGUCCAGUGGCAAUUCAAAGACUAACACGUGGAUUAGGGUAUUGGGGGAAGGGAGCUACAAUUCACUUCCUCAAAUGCGUGACGAGGAAGGGAUACAGAGAUGAGUGUGACAUCACUGCCUCUCUUUGGGAAUGUGGCGGUGUGUGCUGCACAUGGGGCUCUUCUCCCCACGCUCCCAGGAUCCACGAAUACAGUGCUCCCGUGGGGCCAAACCACUCCCUGUGUACCACUGCUCAGACAUACCUGCAGUCCCACCCAGCAGUGAGGCAGGACCCGAUGCCUCAGGACAAAAAGAAGAGGGGGUCAGUUUUUCCCUAGCAACUCCCCGUUAACAGAGCCAGGCAGCGCAGCCCUCGUGGCAGGACGAUUUGAUGGGAAGAGGCUGCUUUGGGGGGCGUGUUGGGCAAGAGGAUCUUGCGAAAGCUCCGCUGGUCUCAGCCAGCACAUGGCCGGCUGGUCAGCCUCCCUUUCGCAGUCCCCUUCUGCUCCCGGUGUCUCCACACCCCGGAGAACCCGGGGGAGGGGGCGGUGUUCCUACAUGCUUUCCAGUCUGUGUCCUGUUACUCACCCCCGACUCCACAGCUCACUGGUUACUCAGCUCUCGGGGCAGGGAGUUUCCUUCUAGUCUGGCGCUGCUGUGUGUGUAAGGCAAGAGCUCCCUUGAGGCUGACUGCACAGGAGCGGCUGUGGAGACAGGUCAGUGCAGCCGGCUUAUUUUUUUUUUCCUGGUACCAGGACUGUUCCUGGGCAUACGCAAAAUACACAGCGGUGUGGGCUUUUUCGGGUUGCCACAGAGCAGAUUUAACCUGGAACCUCUGGAGCUUAGUGUAGGAGCCCCAUUACAGCUUUUCUGCUCUGUCACCUUGACUGCAGCCUGCCUGAUGCCUCUCUGCCUGCCCUUGCUGCUCUCUCCUGCUGUCAGGAGCAGGGCUGCCUUCUCCCUAUUUUCUCCCCCCCUUCCCCAACACACGCACUCUCCUUUUGACCAGCAGCCAGCGCUAGGGAGAGCUCCCUGCGGCCAGGCUGGGGGCGGAGAGGAGCCCUCAGCCUCUGUGCUUCUGCGGCAGCCCAUGAGCCAGACAGAAGCGAUGCCGGGGUGGGGAGGGGGACGGAG